GAUGAACGCUGGCGGCGUGCCUAAUACAUGCAAGUCGAGCGAACGGACGAGAAGCUUGCUUCUCUGAUGUUAGCGGCGGACGGGUGAGUAACACGUGGAUAACCUACCUAUAAGACUGGGAUAACUUCGGGAAACCGUAGCUAAUACCGGAUAAUAUUUUGAACCGCAUGGUUCAAAAGUGAAAGACGGUCUUGCUGUCACUUAUAGAUGUAUCCGCGCUGCAUUAGCUAGUUGGUAAGGUAACGGCUUACCAAGGCAACGAUGCAUAGCCGACCUGAGAGGGUGAUCGGCCACACUGGAACUGAGACACGGUCCAGACUCCUACGGGAGGCAGCAGUAGGGAAUCUUCCGCAAUGGGCGAAAGCCUGACGGAGCAACGCCGCGUGAGGGAUGAAGGUCUUCGGAUCGUAAAACUCUGUUAUUAGGGAAGAACAUAUGUGUAAGUAACUGUGCACAUCUUGACGGUACCUAAUCAGAAAGCCACGGCUAACUACGUG
rnacentral:rRNA from 1 species